GGUCUUAUGGUCUAGUGGUCAUGACACUGGUUUUUGAAGCGAUUCGAAUUGUCGAUUGUGAAAAUAUAAUACCAGUAACCCCGGUUCGAACCCGGGUAGGACCU
rfam:Penicillium freii strain DAOM 242723 scaffold_40, whole genome shotgun sequence.